rnacentral:rRNA from 1 species
GACGAACGCUGGCGGCGUGCUUAACACAUGCAAGUCGAACGCUGAAGCUCAGCUUUUGUUGGGUGGAUGAGUGGCGAACGGGUGAGUAACACGUGAGUAACCUGCCCCCUUCUUUGGGAUAACGCCCGGAAACGGGUGCUAAUACUGGAUAUUCACUGGUCUUCGCAUGGGGGUUUGUGGAAAGGGUUUUUCUGGUGGGGGAUGGGCUCGCGGCCUAUCAGCUUGUUGGUGGGGUGAUGGCCUACCAAGGCUUUGACGGGUAGCCGGCCUGAGAGGGUGACCGGUCACAUUGGGACUGAGAUACGGCCCAGACUCCUACGGGAGGCAGCAGUGGGGAAUAUUGCACAAUGGGCGCAAGCCUGAUGCAGCGACGCCGCGUGAGGGAUGGAGGCCUCCGGGUUGUGAACCUCUUUCGCUCAUGGUCAAGCCGCAACAAUGGUUGUGGUGAGGGUAGUGGGUAAAGAAGCGACGGCUAACUACGUG